UCUUGGACCUGUCCUGAAGGGUGAGGAUUGGUGCGGUCGUUGGUCCUGAAAAGGAAACAAAAGGGCGAACCCACGGAGGAGGAUCGGUGACCAAAUCUUCCCACACGAUGAUAUAUGGCAACUCCUGACAGACAACUCCUUCACAGAGUCUUCAGAACUGAAACCAAGCUGAUCAGCGGCUGAUGAGAGUCAGAGAAAGUAGAGAGGCACAGACAAGACAGACACAGAAAACACAACCGAGGUACUUGGCUCAAGACUUUACUGCAGAGCCCCUCGGCAGCCGGUCAUUGUCCACAGAGAAUGGCCACAUCGGCCUCCUCCCAUGUGUGCAACUGAGUCAGGGAGGCUGGCCAGAAUGGGGGACGCCAGAGACCUCUGCCCUCACCUGGACUGCAUAGGGGAGGUGACCAAAGAGGAUUUGCUGCUUAAAUCUAAGGGAACCUGCCAGUCAUGUGGGGUUGCUGGACCUAACCUAUGGGCUUGCCUCCAGGUCACCUGCCCCUACGUUGGCUGUGGAGAGUCCUUUGCUGACCAUAGCAGCAUUCAUGCGCAGGUGAAAAAGCACAACCUGACUGUGAACCUGACCACGUUCCGGGUCUGGUGCUAUGCCUGUGAGCGCGAAGUCUUUCUGGAGCAGCGUCUGGCAGUCCACCUGCCCAGCUCCUCAGCCAGGCUCUCAGAGCAGGACUCCCCACCACCUUCCCACCCUCUGAAAGCUGUCCCUAUUGCUGUGGCUGAUGAAGGAGAGUCUGAGUCUGAGGAUGACGACCUGAAGCCGCGAGGCCUCACAGGCAUGAAGAACCUGGGGAACUCCUGUUACAUGAAUGCUGCCCUGCAGGCCUUGUCCAAUUGCCCCCCGCUCACCCAGUUCUUCCUGGAGUGUGGUGGUCUGGUGCGCACAGACAAGAAGCCAGCCUUGUGCAAAAGUUACCAGAAGUUGAUCUCUGAGGUGUGGCACAAGAAGCGGCCAAGCUAUGUGGUCCCCACCAGUCUGUCCCAUGGGAUCAAGUUGGUCAACCCGAUGUUCCGAGGCUAUGCCCAGCAGGACACCCAGGAGUUCCUACGCUGCCUAAUGGACCAGCUUCAUGAGGAGCUCAAGGAGCCCAUGGUCGCUGCUGUGGCAGCACUCACCGAUGCUCGGGACUCCGAUUCCAGUGACACAGAUGAGAGGCGUGAUGGCGACCGGAGCCCAUCAGAGGACGAGUUUCUGUCCUGUGACUCGAGCAGUGACAGGGGUGAGGGUGAUGGGCAGGGGCGUGGUGGAGGCAGCUCUAAGGCCGAGAUGGAGCUGCUGAUCUCAGAUGAGGCAGGCCGAGCCAUCUCUGAGAAGGAGCGGAUGAAGGACCGCAAGUUCUCCUGGGGCCAGCAGCGCACCAACUCAGAGCAAGUAGAUGAGGAUGCAGAUGUGGACACGGCCAUGGCCUCCCUUGAUGAGCAAUCCAGAGAGACCCAGCCACCAUCACCAAGAUCUGCCAGCCCCUGCCAGACCCCAGAGCCAGACAAUGAAGCCCACAUACGCAGCUCCUCUCGUCCCUGCAGCCCUAUCCACCACCACCAUGAGGGCCAUUCCAAGCUGUCCAGCAGCCCUCCUCGUGCAAGCCCCGUGAGGAUGGGGCCAUCGUACGUGCUCAAGAAAGCCCAGGUGCCAAGCACUGGUGGCCGGAGGCGGAAGGAGCAGAGCUACCGCAGUGUCAUCUCAGAUGUCUUCAAUGGCUCUGUCCUCAGCCUGGUGCAGUGUCUUACCUGUGACCGGGUGUCUACCACAGUGGAGACGUUCCAGGACCUGUCAUUGCCCAUCCCUGGCAAGGAAGACCUAGCCAAACUCCACUCUGCCAUCUACCAGAAUGUACCAGCCAAGCCUGGAGCCUGUGGGGACAGCUAUUCCUCCCAAGGCUGGCUGGCCUUCAUCGUGGAGUACAUCAGACGGUUUGUGGUAUCCUGUACCCCCAGCUGGUUUUGGGGACCUGUUGUCACACUGGAAGACUGCCUCGCUGCUUUCUUUGCUGCUGAUGAGCUGAAGGGUGACAACAUGUACAGCUGUGAGCGGUGUAAGAAGCUUCGGAACGGCGUGAAGUACUGUAAAGUCCUAUGUCUGCCUGAGAUUCUAUGUGUCCACCUGAAGCGCUUCCGGCAUGAGGUGAUGUACUCCUUCAAAGUCAGCAGCCAUGUCUCUUUCCCUCUCGAGGGACUGGACCUACGCCCUUUUCUGGCCAAGGAGUGCACGUCCCAGGUCACUACCUAUGACCUCCUCUCUGUCAUCUGUCAUCAUGGCACAGCAGGCAGUGGGCACUACAUUGCUUACUGUCAGAACGUGAUCAAUGGGCAGUGGUACGAAUUCGAUGACCAGUACGUCACCGAGGUCCAUGAGACAGCGGUACAGAAUGUGGAGGCCUAUGUGCUGUUCUACAGGAAGAGCAGCGAGGAGGCCAUGCGUGAGCGGCAGCAGGUGGUGUCCCUGGCUGCCAUGCAGGAACCCAGCCUGCUCCGCUUCUACGUGUCCCGAGAAUGGCUCAACAAGUUCAACACCUUUGCAGAGCCGGGGCCCAUCACCAACCACACCUUCCUGUGCUCCCAUGGAGGUAUCCCACCCAACAAAUACCACUACAUUGAUGACCUGGUGGUCAUUCUGCCGCAGAGUGUCUGGGAGCACCUGUAUAGCAGGUUUGGGGGCGGCCCUGCUGUGAGCCAUCUGUAUGUGUGCUCCGUCUGCCAGGUGGAGAUCGAGGCCCUGGCCAAGCGCAGGCGGGUGGAGAUUGACACUUUCAUCAAGCUGAACAAGGCGUUCCAAGCUGAGGAGUCUCCCGCGGUCAUCUACUGUAUCAGCAUGCACUGGUUCCGAGAGUGGGAGGCCUUCGUCAAGGGGAAGGACAGCGAACCUCCCGGACCCAUCGACAACAGCAGGAUUGCCCAGGUCAAAGGCAGUGGCCAUAUCCAGCUAAAGCAGGGGGCUGACUGUGGGCAGAUUUCUGAGGAGACCUGGACCUAUCUGAGCAGUCUGUAUGGGGGCGGCCCUGAGAUCGCCAUCCGGCAGAGUGUGGCCCAGCUCCCAGACCCAGAAAGCUUGCACGGAGAGCAGAAGAUUGAGGCUGAGACCCGGGCUCUGUGACUUGGGCCAUGCUGAGUUGCUGUGGCUGGCCCUACUCCCUCUCCAGACAACCCUGCAUCCCUCUGAAGGCCGCGUCCUGCUGAGUUCCCACUGUCCCUGAAGGCUGGUAUUCGACAUUCCCCAGAGGGUGUGUCUGCCCUGCAGCUGAGCUGCCGUGUGCCUGCUACAGAGGCUGAGAGCGGCUGGUCCGCCCUGAGAGAUGCUAUGCUGGGAAAUAUAUCCGCUCGGACUUCUGAGGACUCUGACUGUCAUCGCUGUGUCCCCAAAUUUGCCCUCUUGCUAACUUGGGCCCAGCUUUUGUCCCAGGAGCCCCAUGCUGCCCUUAGAUAAUGCUGACCCCUGGGAUGGGGGCCAGGAGCAGCUGCAACCUUUUGGGUAUUAUCUGCUGUAUACUUGGCCCAACCCCUUGGGGACACAGAGAAGUAGAUGUCCAUGCACAGGGGCAGAAUGGAUGUGGGGCUCUUUGUGUAGGCCAGCAGCCCCUAUAUCACAAUGGAGGCCCCGCUGCUCAUGUUUGUCCUGUUGACUGUUGCGGGACAGAGAAAGGGCAAGCUUUGCUUUAGAGGGUAGAGGACCUGCCACAUUGUCCUGCUGAGACCACUGGCAGAUCAACUGUCAUUUACUCUGUGAAGAGGCUCCUAAGACCCUAGGGGGAGGGAAAACAGAUACCUCAUGCACUGGCCCACAGUUUGAUGCUUCUUCAUCCCUCUGUGCGGUCUAGAGUGAGCCUGGUCCCUGACCCAACCCCCUAGCCUUGGUGUCUAGAGCCAACUCUGCGAUAUGAUCUGUGGCCACUCAUACAGGCAUGUGUCUAGAGUGUCCUGCUAGGCUGCUGCAGAGGUCCUGGGACCUGCUGAGCCUAGAGAGACUCCUGUGUCUGAGGUCCUGGGGAAACCUAACAGAACUUCCAGGGCAGGGCGUUCAAAGCGAAGUCUGGAGUGGCGAGGGGGAUCCUGGGACCAAGAGGGCUCCAGUGGCCACCUGUCUCUUUAGAGCUUGUACUGUGACACUGUGGCGUCUGCCUUCAGUGGUGAUGAGCACAGCCUGGGACCCCGUGGAAGCUUCUGGGAAGAGCUGAUGGAACACUUGAAACCCCAGCUGUGUCUUUACUGGAACCCACCAACCACACAGGGGUCCAGCAGGGAUGUGCGAGUGGCCAGCACAUCCCACAUGUUGGCUUCCCAACUCUAGUCCCAUCUAUAUUUGCUUUCUGGGGAAGAAGAAUUAGAGUUUUAUUACUUUAAAAGCAUUGAGGUAGAGACUUGGGGUGUAGCUCAGUGGUCAAGCCUGUUAUGGGUCCCAGGUUUAAUCAGUCCUGUGUGGGAGAGUUGACUGAGGCCAUUGAUGUCCCAUCAUACUGAAGGGCUUAGGAACACAGAAUGGAAACCAAGGUUAAAGCCUUCCCAAAGCCAGAAGUAACGAUGCACUCCUCUAGCUCAGCAUUUGCAAGGCAGAGGGAGGAGGUUCAAGAGUUCA